rnacentral:rRNA from 1 species
UACGAAGGGGGCUAGCGUUGUUCGGAUUUACUGGGCGUAAAGCGCACGUAGGCGGAUCGUUAAGUCGGCGGUGAAAUCCUGGAGCUCAACUCCAGAACUGCCUUCGAUACUGGCGAUCUCGAGUCCGGAAGAGGUGAGUGGAACUCCUAGUGUAGAGGUGGAAUUCGUAGAUAUUAGGAAGAACACCAGUGGCGAAGGCGGCUCACUGGUCCGGUACUGACGCCGAGGUGCGAAAGCGUGGGGAGCGAACAGG